UAAUGCUGAGAGAUGUUUGAGGUGGAGCCCGUAGAAUCACCUUGUGAUGCUUUCCACAUUACGAAAAUUAAGUAAUCCUAACCUACUGGAAAAAUGGCACUUUCGUUCCAUGAGAAUUACAACAAUUUAGUUGGGGAGACGAACCUUGCCAAAUCGUCCGUUUUUCGACACUUAUAUCGUAAAAUGUAAGUUCCACAGCAAUGCUUGUGCUAACGGCAUGAGAAAUGCCUUUGGAAAUUGUUAAACCAAUGCAACUAAUGAACAAGAUAUUUACAAAAAACUAUCAGCUUAGCACGAGACGUAUGCAGACGUCGUAAAACAAUUCUCAAGGUCGUGAAGUGUAAAUUGUCGUAAAAAAUUUAUAUUUAUUUUCCGGAGUGACUACUUCGACUUCCUUAUAACUCAGGAAGUUAACGCGAUGUGAUAACUUUACUUGUUCUACUCCAUUUUUAUACUAAAAUGAUUCUUCCAUGGUUUAUCAUGAGAAUAUUGAAUAAGUGGUUAUUUUUCGGAAACAAAAACGAAUGAAAUAAACACGAAGUUCUUAUACGUUCAAUAAUUUAUUCAUUUCUUAUACAGAAGGAAAACGACAAACGUAAUUCAGUAUUUAUAUUUGUAUUAGUUUUCAUAAGGUUUAAAACAGUGAAAAUAGCACGAAACUUAUUAUUUAACAAUUUUAAAA